rnacentral:rRNA from 1 species
GCCCCUACGGGAGGCAGCAGUGGGGGAUAUUGCACAAUGGGGGGAACCCUGAUGCAGCGACGACGCGUGGGUGAAGAAGCGCCUCGGCGCGUAAAGCCCUGUCAGCAGGGGAGAAAAUGACGGUACCUGAAGAAGAAGCCCCGGCUAACUACGUGCCAGCAGCCGCGGUAAUACGUAGGGGGCAAGCGUUAUCCGGAUUUACUGGGUGUAAAGUGGGCGCAGACGGCGUUGCAAGCCAGGAGUGAAAGCCCGGGGCCCAACCCCGGGACUCCCCUUGGAACAGCG